rnacentral:snoRNA from 13 species
AAGACUAUACUUUCAGGGAUCAUUUCUAUAGUAUGUCACUAGAGAAGUGAGAAUGAAAGUGUGAAGAGACGAAAGCCACGAGGAGGAGUUUGAGUGUUCUCUCCUGAGCGCGAAGCGGGCUCGCGGUGCUGCUUUGAGCAGCUGCCGUUUGCCAUUGAUGACCGUUCCUCCUUCUCUUCGGGGAAGGUUGGAGGGAGAGAACACAAGCUGAGUGGU